GCGGGGUUACUGCGACAGAUCCCUUCGGGGUGACGUUGCUUUAACCUAGCGGCGGACGGGUGAGUAACGCGUGGGUAACCUACCCUAAAGCUCGGGAUAACAGUGGGAAACCGCUGCUAAUACCGGAUGACUUUAACCUAUGGCAUCAUGGGUUAAAGAAAGAUUUAUCGCUUUAGGAUGGGCCCGCGUCCCAUUAGCUAGUUGGUGAGGUAACGGCUCACCAAGGCGACGAUGGGUAGCCGGCCUGAGAGGGUGUACGGCCACACUGGGACUGAGACACGGCCCAGACUCCUACGGGAGGCAGCAGUAGGGAAUAUUGCGCAAUGGACGGAAGUCUGACGCAGCGACGCCGCGUGAGCGAUGAAGGCCUUCGGGUCGUAAAGCUCUGUCCUUGGGGAAGAAGGUCUUCGGACUUGACGGUACCCAAGAAGAAAGCCCCGGCUAACUACGUGCCAGCAGCCGCGGUAAUACGUAGGGGGCGAGCGUUGUCCGGAAUUACUGGGCGUAAAGGGUGCGUAGGCGGCCCUUUAAGUCAGAUGUGAAAGGCCACGGCUUAACCGUGGGAUUG
rnacentral:rRNA from 1 species